CUGGCGUCACGUCUCACCGGGUUGAGCCAUCGACGACACCACGCAGUGACUCGCAGCAGCCGUUGCAGCGUCGGGAACCGCAGAAGAAGGUCCGGUUCGGUAAUGACUGGCGCCUUGACUACCAGGCUGGUGACUCGUUGCUCAGGGAGGUCAUCCUCUGGGACGUCGAUGUCUGCACCAGGCCAGGCAGCCUCGUCUCCUGACAGCCAGGGUUUUCUCGUCCGGCGACGUGUCUCCAAUGAGCGUCUGGAAGCAGGGUCUGGAUCUGCGACACUCGGUUGGCAACAAAGGUCUUCCAGCGGGUGCAGUGUCCGCGAAUCCAGUGAAGAGUGACCUUGGAGUCGGACCACAGGUGCACCGGCGUAGCAGCCAAGCCGAGGGUAGUGCGUACAUGCAACAUGAGCGUGCGUUGCGGAUGUAUACGACGGCGGCGUAUCCUCGCUCCGAUGCAUCGGCAAACCCAUGGAGCUGCAGUUGCGACUGGUCAUCUCCGGUGCUGAGCCAACGAUCCACACGGAUGUGAUCCAGCAACGGAAGUUGAUUCAGCAGUUGUCUCCAGCGGUGUGCGUCCUGAUCAGGCAGCGGAGAGUCCCAAUCCAGCCGUUGAAGCCACGUAGACUGGAUCAGAAUUUUGGCUCGGAUGACGACAGGCGCUAGCCAGCCCAUCGGAUCGAAUAGUCGAGCUGUCUCGGCCAAGACUCGUCUCUUCGUGAGGUCGGUGGUUGAACGCGGACGUAUGGUGAAGGAGAACCAAUCCCCUUGAGGAUGCCAUCGAAGACCCAGGGUGGCGUGGCUCUCUCCUUCCCACGAGCGCGGUCCGCGUUGAAGCCGAUGUUCCGGCGGAAUUCCGGUGAGCACCUGCUGGUUGUUGGCAGCCCACUUUCGCAAAGGAAACCCGCCCGCCAUGCAGAGACUCUGUAGUUCCUGUUGGAGUUUGAUGGCAUCCGCCAGGCUGUCAGCACCGGUGACCACGUCGUCGACGUAACAGUCUUGUCGCAGCGCCCUGACUCCGCGUGGAUAUCGUGCCUCUUCGUCUGCAGCAAGUUGGUGAAGCGUCCUGAUGGCGAGGAAGGGUGCGCACGCCAGUCCGUAGGUCACGGUCUUCAACUCGUACUCGCAGAUGUUGUCUGAGCUGUUGUGGCGCCACAGGAUGGUUUGCAGGCGACAAUCCUCCGGAUGAACAAGAAUUUGUCGGUACAUUUUCUCGAUGUCCGUGACGAAAACGUACCGAUGCCAACGCCAACGGAGUAAGACGUCAGCGAGUGCUGGCAAGAGGUUAGCUCCAGUGAGGAGGUGCGAGUUCAGCGACUCUCCGGACCGUGUGCGUUGGGAGCCGUUGAACACAACCCUGAGCUUCGUGGUCGUGCUCGACUCCUUGAG